AGUAAUUUACAAGUAUGUGCAAAUAGAUGAGACUCAAACUCUGGACCUUGAUCGGUAUCUAUGAUAGAAGGAACUCCGAAUCUACAUAUGAAAUUUGUAACUAGCCUGUCAGCUACUGUAAUGGCUGUAUGAUCAGGCAAAGGAUAUGCCUCUGUGUAUUUCGUGAAAUAAUCACGGACUACCAUAAUAUAUGUCAUACCAUUGGUUGUUGUAGGUAAGGGACCCAUUAUGUCUAUGGCUAUCCUAUCUAAUGGUUGGUAAGAUAUGUCCUGUUUCAAAGGAGAUUUACCCAUACCAGGCCCAGGUUUGCGCCUUUCACAAGUUUCACACUCAGCGACCAAGCGUCUUGUGUCAGCAUUCAAAUUUGGCCAAUAAAAUCUUUGUCUGAUACGAGCAAUAGUUCUAUCUCUACCCAAAUGUCCUGCAGUUCUGUUUUUGUGCAAAGAAUCGAAAAUCUCAGACCUAAGCUUCUGCGGCAAGAUCAAACGUUUGUUAUUACAGUCUACUCUAUACAAAACAUUGCCUUUGAACUGUAAGCCAUCCCACAAACUCCACAAAGUUCUGUUAUGCCGUAUAACAAAGAAAACAAAGAGUUAAUUCAAAAUUUCUACUUUUACUUUCAUUUUCAGUUUCCUUAUCAAUUCUAUUACAACAAAAGCAUAUAUUCAUAAAUAUCAUAUGCAAUCAACAAUAAAAUAUCAGUACCUGCAUCUUAUUCUGUAGUUAUGUUUCUUGUUUAAUAAUAAUGUUAAAUAAUUUACCUUGACCGGAUGUUAACUUUUCAUAUCAAUAUUCCAAACUGAAACUUGUUUAUUUUUGAAACCGCUAUUUAUACUUUUUCGGACGUGACGUCAAUGACACGUGACGACCGUUAAAGUAAAAAUAUCUACCAAUGAACGUUAUAUGAAAUGGCGGAUUUAAUGAAUGAAUGAGAUGCAAGCGUUAACAACAAUAUUAUACAAAUACAAUGACAAAAACGUAAGUUAAGCAAUAGACAUCGGUUGAAAUACAUAAAUAUGAUGUUUAUGCAUAUUGUGAAUAACAAGUUAUUUUAAUAAUAAGCAUUUUAAUUUAAUAACGAGCGUUUGUUUACGUUACGCUUUGUAUAACAGAAUGGGUGGGUUAACGGCCUAGCAGUACCCUCACCUUUCUAAGAAUUGUCCCAAUUCUUGUGAACAACAGAUCAAUUAUAAGGUACCCGUCAUUUACGAAGCUGCUCGACUCUACGGUCUCGGCGAUCAGGGUCCUUGCCCGAUUAGAAAGUUCCUGUAAUUUUGCCCGCGCAUUGUCCAGCGACUUCAUCUCCUCGUCUGUCGUACAUGUGCUUCCAUAUAUCAUGUCAACCGGUAACCUUAUUUCUCUACCAAGAUGUAACAUUGAUGGUGAAAAUUCUGUAGAUGACUGGACAGAUGACCUGUAGGCCAUGAGUACUAAAUCAAUGUGUUUAUCCCAGUCAUCUUGAUUUGAAGAAACAUAAGAGCAGCGAGCCGCCACCGGGAGGAGCAAGUCUGGACGGGCGCACCACCGUUGCGGCAUCUUCAAGCGGGCUGUGGUUAACACAGUCAAACACCUGACCUCCACCCAUGGGCUCACCAAGGGCUCCGAGGAAUACCUCCAUCACAAAAGCCAGUUGACGAAGAUGUAGGCACGGAAGCAACCGGCCACCACAUUGGCGUUGGCGUAGAGGUCCACAUCUGGGUCCACCUCUAGGUCAAGAACCGGAUCCAGGUCCUCAUCCGGCCUUUCGUCUUCAUUUCCUUUUCCUUUUCUUCCGCUUCUUGAGCCAGCGCCUUUGCCGCCUUCACCCCCAGCCUUUACAUCAGCCGUCACCCCAGCAUCUGUUCGGCCCUGCUUUCCGCCAUCAGAAGAGGUCUACACGGCUAUCCAGCAGUGGAUGGCGUGCCUCCCGAACCGAAAGAAAGUAUACUUGGACCCUGGCAUUCGGAAGACUUCUUUGCAGGUAUCCGGCAGCAGGCCCAGCAGAGAUCAACCCAGAAGCCCUACCAGCGGUUUCGGUGGCUUAACGCACAGAAGGCCGCCGCAUACCCUAACUCGGAGCUACCCACCGUGAAGAUCGUCAAGAAGUGCGCCACGGCGCCGAACUGAGCCAGGGCUUUAGUUCGUACCCCUGCUAGUGGACAACGCACCUGCCCCCACCCACUUCCCGUCCGUGUGGUCCAGGACCCGUGGUCGUACCCUUGGUCAUACUUGUCGUCCCGGCUGGACAAAGAUACCAAUUGUAAGAAAUUGUCACGGAGUCAUCGUCAUUGUCCCCAGCUUCCACAGACUGGUCAAACUCAGACCUGAAGAUCACGACAGACUGGAGCCAGGACGACGUUUUUCUGCCUCUACCUAAAUUUACGCUACGCCUGUCCUCCAUUAACGAGGAGGUCCAGCAGGUCCAGCAGGCCCUGAACACGUCGUCCUCGUCGCGGCCACGGACCACCAGGACGCGAGUCUUAUCAACCGAGACUGGCGAGAUUUGCGAGGUCUUUGCCGACAAAAUCACACAGUCUGCCAACACGGGUAGAAAUGUGUCUAUUGUAGCUGUAUGCACUAAGCUUACAGCUGCGAUGGCCAGACUCACGUAUCAGCAAAUCCGUGAGAAGGUGCGCAACUUGGUUAAGUCAUAUGUUGUAUAUAUUGAAGUGUAGUUUUGCACAGAAAUAACUGUUAACAUCAUGUUUUGUGUCUUCAUUGUAUGUAUCUUUCAAUUGUGCUUUAUAUACCAAUUCAAUUGCAUGUUGUAAAAUACAGUUUUAUUUGCAUGUUUUGUAAUGCUAGUAGUAGUAGCAGUAGCAGUAGUAGUAGUAUGUUAAUUUUUGCUUAAUAAAAUAUAAUUAAACUU